UGAUAACCUCAAAAAUUUACUCAGGUAUUGGCAAGCUUCCUUCUCUAAUCUUGAUAUCAAUCUUCUAGAACCAAUAUCUCUUCUUUGCACUAUUCGAUUGAUCUCAAAAUUCUCAUAAACAUAGAAAAAUAAGUCCAAUAUCCUAUCACAUAAGUUUCACUCCAAUCCAACUAAUAGAUUGCAAGAAAUCUUAAAAAUCCCUACUAGACCUAAAAUUCUACUUUUUGAGACCUUGACCCACUUAAACCUCAAUAUUCCUCAAUUCAACCGUUAGAUCAAGCUCAAAUUCACAAUACAUAUUAAACACAACUAUAACCAUAAACCUACAAAAUUUCAUUUGUAGAUCUAUUAUAAAACUCUUCAAAUCACCCAAAACGUAAACCCUAUUUUAUUUCAUAAAAUCCAAGUCAUGCGAAACAAACCUUGACUUCGCAAAGCUCUUACAAAGUCAUAUCAACUCCAAAUCACCCAAAAUCAUUGCCCACAGAAACCCUAAUCCAUCUUCUAUCAAACUCUACUCUCCAAUUUGCCAAAGAGUCCUAGAGUCAUUGUCGAGACUCAGUUUUGUGUCCUAAGGUCUGAUUUCGACCCUGGUUCAUAACCGGCCCUCUCCGGAUAUCGAUUUCUAGUUUUUCUAAGUAAUUUUUACUAGAAUUUAUUCUUAACUUCUUUCUAAAUAUGUCUAUAUUAUUUAUUUUUCCAAUCUACUUUGUUUUGCCUUAUUUA
rnacentral:lncRNA from 1 species